ACGGAUGGUAAAAGUGAGAUCCAGACAUUGGAAGAUAUGUUGCAGGAAUGUGUUUUGGAUUUCGGCGGUAGUUGGGAUAUGUAUCUUACGUUAGCGGAAUUUUCGUAUAGCAAUAAUUAUCAUGCCAACAUCGGUCGACCUCCUUUUGAGAUGUUCUGUGGGAGGAAGUGUAGGACCCCGAUAUGUUGGGGUGAGGUCAUUUAGCGGGUCAUAAGGAGUAUCGAUGUAGUACUCAAGAUGAGUGAGAUGAUUCAGCAGGUUCGGGGUAGACUGCAGACAACGCAGAGUCGGCAGAAGAGUUAUGCAGACAAAUGCCGGUCAGACUUGCAAUUUCAGGUCAGGGAUAUGGUUCUCCUGAAGGUGUCACCUUGGAAAAGUAUCAUCCAAUUUAGAAAGAGGGACAAGCUGGGCCCCGGGUACAUCGGUCCUUUCAGGGUUUUGGCCCGGGUGGGUCAUGAAACGCCUAGUUCCUGCUUGUGAAGGAAGGAGAAGCUUGGGGAUUCAAGAAGAAGUUAGUAGAUUUAGAGACUCCAUUUCAUUCUCAUCAUUUCCUGGUACUUCCGGUAGCAAAGGGAAGAGCUCGGGAUGAUUGCAGUGCGGACCAUUUAUUUAGCCUGUGAUGUUUAUAUACUCUGAUAUAUUUGACAGAUGUUUAUGAUAUUUUGAGAUACAUGGCUUACGAUUUUUAUAUGAUGUUUGAUAACUAUGGUUUUCUUAAUGAUUAAAAAUUAAAAU